AUACCUUUCAGAGCCUGGGUGAUACGCCUCCUUGGGUUACACCUUCCAUGACUUGUGGUCAGAUGUGGGCUGUGCCAUUCACAUUAUCCUACCUUGCAAGAAAAUAUUUGUAUAUUGGCCUCACCAGGUCCCCAGUUCCUCUGGGAAUCAUCCUGUACACAACAUCUUCACAAGGGUGGCAGACAGUUGGAUCUCUGGCCUUCGUGGGACCACUGGACAUCUGGCAGAGAACCAGAAAACCACUCUUCCUUUCUAAUGAAAAAAAUGCAUGGCAUACAUCAUCAAGAAUCAAAGGUUGUGCCUGGCAGUGUAAUUGACUCUGUAAGAAAGAGAGAAGCUUCGCUAGGCUCCCAGUGCAGCUGCUGUCUGCAGACCCCCUGGACUGCCCGGGGAAGUGAGUCGGAACUCCUGCAGCAGAGGGGUGGAACAGCUACAAGAAGAUCCGAAGGUGGCCAAAAAUAACAGCACUUUCCAGAUGAGGGAGCCAGUUGUCCAGCACAGUGUCAUGUGACAGUGGGCCGUGGUGUCACAUGUCUGGCAUCUCCACCAGAUACAGCUUUGAGAUCUUCAUGAUGAAGCUUGCUCCAGUACAAAGGCUUUCAGGCAGGGUUUGCUGUUCAGCUGCUAACCUUUCUUUGAAACAGGGACACUUGGAAUAAGAACAUCUUUAUCUGUUGAUGCCCCUGGAACGACUUCCCUUCAGCAGACCCUUCCCUGACUUCAAGGCUCUGGAAAAUGUCAAUAUGAAAUUGAGUGAGAUGCUUCAUUGAGCCACCCCCUGUGCUGUUACCCUUAGGAAGACAAAGCUCAUGGAUGUUAUCCUGAAGAAGUAAAGAUGGAUGCCCUUCUCUAAUGAGCUUUUCUAGCAAGCAGAGAGGCACUGUGUUCCUGCACUUGGUUAUUAUACUGUCUCCUUCAGAAUCUCUCUGGGACAAACCGGUUUCUAUUGCAAGACCUUCUAUACUGAAGCACUUGUUUAUAUUAAGGCUUCACUAUCCAAAUCCUGUCUUCACUGGCUUCAAGAAUUCUGUCUUCACUGGCUUCAAAACUGGGAUGAAGGAGUCUCCUUAGUGGAGAGCAAACCAAAGAGGUAUUUGCAGUCAGGAAGGUAAAUCAAGAUGCUGAAGGUUUCCAUGAGGAAGAUAGUAGAUGCUGUCUCCCUUGGGGUGAUCUGUGAAGAGGAUAAAGAAUAAAGCAACCAGAGACUGUGGCCUUUGGGUUUUUGCCUGCUGAGAAAUGACAAAUAGAAUCCCAGCCAGCUGGAAGCUCUGAUUCACAGAAACAGGGGAGGUCAUGUGAAAUAUAAAGUCAAACAGAAAGAGCUACACGGAGAGUUGCUAAGUUUUAUUUUAAAACUUGUUAAUCUUGAUAUUGGGGAGUGGACUGGACUUCGGUGGAAUCUGCUAGAAAGCAUUCUACAAUCACAUC